ensembl:lncRNA novel transcript
GCAAAGAUACUCCUAUUAGGCAUUAUGUGUCGAAGAUUACCUCCCAGGAGUCUAGGACAAAGGUCAGACCUCUUUUUGGUCAACGUUAAUUUUUAUUUGAAACUAUACAACAUUGCCAUCACUCUGUUAUCCUUUCUGUUUUGUCUUCAAAAUAACCCUAAUUGGUGGGUAAGGAUAUUAUUAUAAACAAGAUCUCAAGAGGGAAGACGCUGGGGCAAGGUUGCACAGUCGAUCCUGGACUCAUGGUACAAGACUCUUUCCACUCUCUGAGAGCCCUGAGUCCUGAGAAGAUGGAAACAAGGAGGCCAAGGCAGGUGAAUUGCUUGAGUCCAGGAGUUUGAGACCAGCCUGAGCAACAUGGUGAAACUCCGUCUCUACAAAAAACAAAAAAAAUCCAGCGUGGAGGCAUGCACCUGUGGUUUCAGCUACUCAAGAAGUGAGGCAGGAGGAUUGCUUGAGCCUGGGAGGUCAAGGCUGCAGUGAGCUGUGAUUGCAUCAUUAUACUCCAGCCUGGGUGACAGAGCAAAACCCUGCCUUAAAUAAAUAAAUGAAUAAAAGGAAACUUGUGGUU